rnacentral:lncRNA from 1 species
GCGAACGCCUCCCGGCCGCCCUGCCCGCGGCCACCUGGGGCGCUGCGGAGGCCGGACCCCGCGGCACGGGGCGACGACGGGGGGCGCCGGGCUCCUUCGGCGGUCGGCUACGGCUCUCCUCAGCCCGGCCUCCCGGCGCCCGAGUCGCCGCGCUGUCAAUCCGCGCGCGCCGCCAGCAGCUGCUCCGCGCACGCUCCGCCCGUCUCGCCCGGCGCGAGCCGCUCCGGAGUCCUGCGGAACGGAGGCCACCGUCUCGCAGGCGCUCGGCGUGCCCGGGUCACCCCCUCCUCCGGACUUUUAAAGCCAGCGGUUUACCAGAACGCUUCCCAGCGAGCCUGGGAACUCGGCGAGCGCUGCGCAGCCGGGCGUUAUCGCCUCGGCGCAGAUGGGACCAGGACGGCUGCGGGAACUCGUGCCUCCUGCCUGCCCACCGUGGAGUCCCGGGAAGCAGCCAGCAUCGAGGACUUCCCACACAGUUGCCUUCGGCUCGUGGUCACUUGUACUUCCGUAGUUAUUCCCGUCAAACUUUUAUUUCAUGGGCGUUGAAAAAUCAAAUACUAGCCGCUGCUAGUGGAGUCCUCACGUAACCGUGACACUAGAGAACUGGAGGCUGGAGUUCAAGGUCAUCCUUGGCUACAAAAUGAGGUCGAGACUUGUCUGGGCUACAGGGCGGCGACGGUGGUGAUGAAGAAGGAGCAGCCAAGGGAGAGAAAAAGAGGAAGAAAAAGACUCCAUACUGAACUCAUCCUUUGAACAACAACAACAAAAUAGCAGUAGAUACCUAAUUUUAGGAAAGAACUGUAUGCAAAGACCGAGGCUAGUAGUUUUCAACCCUGGCGGCACAUUAGAGACACCCGGAAAAGUUUUCAUUAGAAGAGUUUUAGAUCCACAGCAAAUUGAACAGAAAGUACAGAGAAUAAGUUAUGGCUACCCUGUUCUGUAUCAUGUGUUCCUGGCCAGAUGCCUGGAAUCUACCUUCACAGACUAUGAACGGCUCAUGCAGAAAUUUCCAAAGUUCCCCAACAGGAAAAAUACUUUCUAACAAUGUAGCUACCACAGGACUGUGGCCAGAACAAAUGAAAAACUCUUCAAACCCAAGAAUAAGAAAAAACCUUGCCAGGCAGUGGUGGCGCACACCUUUAAUCCCAGCACUUGGGAGGCAGAGGCAGGUGGACUUCUGAGUUGAGGCCAUCCUGGACUACAGAGUGAGUUCCAGGACAGCCAGAGCUACACAGAGAAACCCUGUCUCAGAAAAGAAAAAAGAAAAGAAAAAAACCUUAAUUAGAAAUUGUAAAAGACUGGAGACAUUUAACCAAGAAGACAUCCCAGUGGCUGGCGAGAAAGCAUAUGAAAGAUGCUUAACAUUAUCUGGCCUUGAGAAAUUGAAGAUACUCACUGGUGGUCUGUGCGUUUGGUUCCCAGUACCCAUAUCAGGCAGCUCACAUCUGAUGCCUCUGGCCUCUACAAGCACCUGCGUUUACAUGCAUUCACCCACACACAGGCAUGCACAUGUGCAC